AGAGCCAGUGCUCUUAACCGCUGAGUCUUCUCUCCAGCCUGUUCAAGACUUCACUUUGAAUUCUACUUUGCUGGACACCAGAGAGUAAGGUGAUAUUAAUUCACCUUCCUGUUUCCAGGUCUGGCUGUGCUGGGCAAGAGAAAGGUGCUCAGGCUUAGUUCACAGGACUGUGGUUCUGCCCCCUUUUCAUAGGAGCAAUUGACUCUGCAGACAUGGACCUGGAGAUGGAGAUGCAACAGUGAAGGAUUGGAAGCUGGAAGGAAGGAAACCCAAGCCAAGGAAUCUAAGUGGCUUCUGGAAAUGGAAUUUUCUAGAAGAAAGCCACAUUCCUGUUGCGGACUGACUGACUGGUUGGAACUUCAUGAUGGUGGAAAGUUGGAUACUGUGGAUGUGAGGCCAAAAUUAUCUCACUCCCCGCCCCCCC